UAAAUUAACAGCAAAAUCAUUGAUUUCAUAGGUCUAUUACCCGGAAAAUCAGUGUAGAGUAGAUAAGGUCAUCAGCCUUACCUGGAAUCUGGACUUAGAAACACAUCAAGAUCUUUGCCUCUCUGCGCCACUGAAAUUUCUUCUUGUGCAGAGCGCUAAAUCUUAUCUGGAAAUACAAGCUUCAGGUGUACACGAGAGCACUACUGGGAGAGUGACCAGCGGAUCCUGGAAUACUAGGAUACACAAACAUAACCCUCGACAAUAUCUAGAAGAACUAGUAUUAAUUGUAACGGGGACCGUUACAGAUGUUCCCCAAACGCUCCCCAACUCCCUU